rnacentral:lncRNA from 10 species
AUUUUCCCUAUGAAUUUCCUGGGCGGGUCUGAGCUGGAUAAUCUAGCAAGCUCCUUCAAUGUUCCUUCUCUUCAUACAAGGAUACAGUAAUACAGAAAAAUCAGGAAGGAGUAUGAGG